GCAGCGGUAGUUCAGUGGUUAGAAUACCGGCCUGUCACGCCGGGGGUCGCGGGUUCGAGCCCCGUCCGCUGCG
rnacentral:tRNA from 1 species